AAGUAAUCUUUGUACUCAUCACCCCCAGAGCCAUCCUAAUCCAUCUUGUUACUUCAACGAAAUAUUAUUGUUAGA
rnacentral:sRNA from 1 species